UUACAAUUGACAUCAUAUGGCAUUUGUCUUCUGACUGACUUUGCUCGGCAUGAUCAUCUCUAGAUCCACCCACGUGGCUGCAAAUGGCCUGAUUCCGUUCUUUUUCUGGCUGAGUAAUAUCCCACGCUUCUAACCCUUGUGACACCUGGACAUACUCUCACUAACUUCACAAGCCACAGGCUUGUUCAUUCAGCACGGAGAGGGUUCUGUAUCAAGAAUCUCCCUUUGACUUCCAGUUCAAGAUGAUGGAGUAGAAAGAUGUGUGCUUAUCUCCUUGAGAACACCAACGUUGCAACUAGCUACUGAUCAACCGUCGACAGGAGGACACUGGAACCCACCAAAAGAGGAACCUCACAUCCAAAGACAAAGCAGAAGUCCUAACAAGACACAGGCAAGAUCUUAGUUCCCCAACCAGGGAUUGAACUCCCGCCACCUGCACCAGAAGCUUGGGGUCUCAACCACUGGACCGCCGUGAAAGUCCCUCAGAUUUCUUUUUGAAUUGUAGUUCUCAGUGUUAUAAAGCCUCUUGAGACAGUCUGUCCUCAAGGGACCAAAACAAAUAAACAAAAAC
ensembl:lncRNA